GCGCGUAGCUCCUCCUCUCCCGGGCCAGGACCCCAUUACAGGCUCUGUCCUCUCCCCUCCCCCUCUCCCCCGGCAACCGCUCUCCCUCGCCCCCUCCCCUCAGCGGGUCCUCCUCUUUCUCUCCCUCUCCCUCUCCCUCCUCCUCCCCCUCCCCAUCCCUUCCCCCCCACAAUGCAGUUCGCGGCGCGGCGGACAUGGCGGUGGAGUCCUGAGCUAGUCGUGUCCCGGCCUCCAGCGGCGGCAGCGGCGACGGCGGCGGCAGCAGGAGGCGGAGGGAGAGCAGGAGCCACUGAGAUGAGGAGGCGUCGCGCGCGCCUGUAGCUCGCGGGCCUCGCAGUUUGCUUGCCUAAACUGGACUUGAAGCAAUUUAAACUACUGGAGAUCUGCCAUUUUAUAAUAUCACAAUUGGAAAGAAACAGAUUUUCAAAUAAUGGAAGAGUCUAAAACCUUAAAAAGUGAAAAUCAUGAACCAAAGAAGAAUGUUAUUUGUGAAGAAAGCAAAGCAGUUCAAGUUAUAGGUAAUCAAACAUUGAAAGCUAGAAAUGAUAAAUCCGUAAAAGAAAUUGAGAACAGCUCUCCAAAUAGGAAUAGUAGUAAAAAAAAUAAGCAAAAUGAUAUUUGUAUAGAAAAAACAGAAGUUAAAUCAUGUAAAGUAAAUGCUGCCAACCUUCCAGGUCCUAAAGAUUUGGGGUUAGUCCUUCGAGAUCAAAGUCAUUGCAAAGC
rnacentral:lncRNA from 1 species